GAUGGACGCUGGCGGCGUGCUUAACACAUGCAAGUCGAACGGAAAGGCCCAAGCUUGCUUGGGUACUCGAGUGGCGAACGGGUGAGUAACACGUGGGUGAUCUGCCCUGCACUUCGGGAUAAGCCUGGGAAACUGGGUCUAAUACCGGAUAGGACGAUGGUUUGGAUGCCAUUGUGGAAAGUUUUUUCGGUGUGGGAUGAGCUCGCGGCCUAUCAGCUUGUUGGUGGGGUAAUGGCCUACCAAGGCGUCGACGGGUAGCCGGCCUGAGAGGGUGUACGGCCACAUUGGGACUGAGAGACGGCCCAGACUCCUACGGGAGGCAGCAGUGGGGAAUAUUGCACAAUGGGCGCAAGCCUGAUGCAGCGACGCCGCGUGGGGGAUGACGGCCUUCGGGUUGUAAACUCCUUUCGCUAGGGACGAAGCGUUUUUGUGACGGUACCUGGAGAAGAAGCACCGGCUAACUACGUG
rnacentral:rRNA from 1 species